rnacentral:rRNA from 1 species
UGGGGAAUUUUGGACAAUGGGCGAAAGCCUGAUCCAGCAAUGCCGCGUGUGUGAAGAAGGCCUUCGGGUUGUAAAGCACUUUUGUCCGGAAAGAAAUCCUGGGCUCUAAUACAGUCGGGGGAUGACGGUACCGGAAGAAUAAGCACCGGCUAACUACGUGCCAGCAGCCGCGGUAAUACGUAGGGUGCAAGCGUUAAUCGGAAUUACUGGGCGUAAAGCGUGCGCAGGCGGUUUGCUAAGACCGAUGUGAAAUCCCCGGGCUCAACCUGGGAACUGCAUUGGUGACUGGCAGGCUAGAGUAUGGCAGAGAGGGGUAGAAUUCCACGUGUAGCAGUGAAAUGCGUAGAGAUGUGGAGGAAUACCGAUGGCGAAGGCAGCCCCCUGGGCCAAUACUGACGCUCAUGCACGAAAGCGUGGGGAGCAAACAGGAUUAGAUACCCUGGUAGUCCACGCCCUAAACGAUGUCAACUAGUUGUUGGGGAUUCAUUUCCUUAGUAACGUAGCUAACGCGUGAAGUUGACCGCCUGGGGAGUACGGUCGCAAAGAUUAAAACUUAAAGGAAUUGACGGGGUCAUAGCUGUUUCCU